rnacentral:lncRNA from 1 species
UGCCAUUUGAUUAGGGAAUUUCGGUUUAUAAUUUUCCACGGAGUUCAGUAUUUUUAUGAUUUUUCUUUUUUGUCUUGCAGUACGUUCUUCGUUAGAUUUUUUGUGUUUGAUUAUGGGUAUAUUAAUAAGGAGUCGAGUGUCCUAAUGAUAAACCUCAUGGUUCAUCUUCCAAAUUUAAUUGCUAUCUUAUCCAAUGCAAGGGGGAUAAUCCAUACUUGUAUUGAGAUAUAUUUCGUUAACCCACUUAUCCUAUUAAAUCAUAGAUUGAAUCAUCUAUACUUUUCUAUUCUAUAUCUUGAAAUAUCACACUCAUUUUAAAC